UACCAUGAAAACGGGUUUGAAGAGGGA
rnacentral:piRNA from 1 species